rnacentral:rRNA from 1 species
UUUGUAGGUGGCUCGCUAAGUCAGACGUGAAAUCCCUCAGCUCAACUGGGGAACUGCGUCUGAGACUGGCAAGCUCGAGUGCAGGAGAGGAACGCGGAAUUCCAGGUGUAGCGGUGAAAUGCGUAGAUAUCUGGAGGAACACCGGUGGCGAAGGCGGCGUUCUGGACUGCAACUGACACUGAGAAACGAAAGCCAGGGGAGCAAACG